GAUGAACGCUGGCGGCGUGCCUAAUACAUGCAAGUCGAGCGAACGGACGAGAAGCUUGCUUCUCUGAUGUUAGCGGCGGACGGGUGAGUAACACGUGGAUAACCUACCUAUAAGACUGGGAUAACUUCGGGAAACCGGAGCUAAUACCGGAUAAUAUUUUGAACCGCAUGGUUCAAAAGUGAAAGACGGUCUUGCUGUCACUUAUAGAUGGAUCCGCGCUGCAUUAGCUAGUUGGUAAGGUAACGGCUUACCAAGGCAACGAUGCAUAGCCGACCUGAGAGGGUGAUCGGCCACACUGGAACUGAGACACGGUCGAGACUCCUGCGGGAGGCAGCAGUAGGGAAUCUUCCGCAAUGGGCGAAUGCCUGACGGUGCAACGCCGCGUGAGUGAUGAAGGUGUUCGGAUCGUAGAACUAUGUUAUUAGGGAAGAACAUAUGUGUAAGUAACUGUGCAGAUCUUGACGGUACCGAAUCAGAAAGCCACGGCUAACUCCGUG
rnacentral:rRNA from 1 species